rnacentral:rRNA from 1 species
CCCCUAGAUGUUCUGGGCCGCACGCGCGCUACACUGUACAGUUCAACAAGUCUUAACCUUGGCCGAUAGGUCUGGGUAAUCUUUGAACGCUGUUCGUGAUUGGGAUAGACCUUUGCAAUUAUGGGUCUUCAACGAGGAAUUCCUAGUAAACGCAAGUCAUCAGCUUGCAUUGAUUACGUCCCUGCCCUUUGUACACACCGCCCGUCGCACCUACCGAUUGAAUGGUCCGGUGAAAUCUCGGGACGGCGGCUUGGUCGCUUGCGUCCGACUGCUGAAACUUGAUUAAACCAUAUCAUUUAGAGGAAGGUGAAGUCGUANCA